UGACAAAAUUCGUGCCAGCAGUUGCGGUUAAACAAAAGUUAAAUUAAAAUAUUUCAGUUUAUAAUAAAUAAUAAAAUUUAAAAUAAAUAUUAAAUUAUUAAGUGAAAUUUUAAUUUAAUUAAAUUUUAUAUAGAAAUUAUGAUUUAAUAAAUUUUAAUAUCAACUAGGAUUAGAUACCCUAUUAUUAAAAAAUUAAUUUAUAAUACUAAAAUAGUAAAUAAUUAUUUAUUGAAACUUAAAUAAUAUGGCGGUAUUUUAGUUCAUUUAGAGGAAUCUGUCUAAUAAUUGAUAAUCCACGAAUAAAUUUACUUAAUUUAUAAUUUUGUAUAUCAUUGUUAAAAAAAUAUUUUUUUAUAAAAAUAAUAUUUUAAUUUUAAAAAUAAAAGUUAAAUCAGAUCAAGAUGCAGAGUAUAAUUAAGAAUAUGAUGGAUUACAAUAAAAAUAUUUAAAUGAAUAAUAAUUUAAAAAUUUAUUGAAGGGGAUUUAAAUGUAAUUUUAUUUAGUUUCAUAAAAUAUAACCAUAAACCCCAG
rnacentral:rRNA from 1 species